GCCGGUUGGGGUAAGCCGUGAUGUACUCCUCAAUGAAGUCUCGGCAAGAGAUGUCUUCUAUGUCCUCCCACGUCUUUUUCACUGUCCCAAGGAAGAAGUGGGACUGAGAGAGGGCAUGUAGGGCAUGUCUUGUGUUUCAAUUUUGAUCCCGAGACUCUCCUCUCCACAGCUUCAUCUCUUACCCGAAUCUAUACUGAGCACAUCAUCAUCUUCGUCAGGAAUCUCAAUUAUUUCUGUAGGCUGGGAAGCUUCGUCCUCAGAGCUACUGUCCCGUCCUUACCUGGAUGCAUCAUCAAAGAGCUGGUCGACAUGGGCAACCUCAGUCUCCUUCUGUAUUACCCACGUUUCCAACUCUGCUAGCUGCUUCCUGCGUUGCUGUAUACAGUCCAUCUUUUCUAGCUCUUUAUCGAU